CAGUCAGAUUGUGACAGUUAGCACAGUACCCAUGGUACACGACAUCAUCUACAACAAGGGUAAAUAAAACCCUGAGUAUGAAAAUGUACUCAGCCAGACUUACCCAUCAUAAACCAGAAAUAAAGUGACACCAAGGAGUAUGCAAGGCUUAUAUUUGUGGACUGGUUUGACUCACAUUUUGCAUAAAAAGCUUUAGUCUGGAGUGACAUAUUUAUAACAUUUUCAGCAACAAGUAAUUACUUAAAACAGCUAUCCACUAGAUUAGCACCCGUUCUAAGCACACACUUGAGUAUUAAGCAUCACAAUAAUAACCAUAUCC
rnacentral:lncRNA from 1 species